CAAUAGCGUAUAUUAAAGUUGUUGCGGUUAAAAAGCUCGUAGUUGGAUUUCUGCCGAGGACGACCGGUCCGCCCUCUGGGUGUGUAUCUGGUUUGGCCUGGGCAUCUUCUUGGAGAACGUAGCUGCACUUGACUGUGUGGUGCGGUGUCCAGGACUUUUACUUUGAGGAAAUUAGAGUGUUUCAAGCAGGCACACGCCUUGAAUACAUUAGCAUGGAAUAAUAAGAUAGGACCUCGGUUCUAUUUUGAUGGUUUCUAGAGCUGAGGUAAUGAUUAAUAGGGAUAGUUGGGGGCAUUCGUAUUUAACUGUCAGAGGUGAAAUUCUCGGAUUUGUUAAAGACGGACUACUGCGAAAGCAUUUGCCAAGGAUGUUUUCAUUGA
rnacentral:rRNA from 1 species